UCGACAUUCCUGCCCACUCUCAAGAUAAGUCACCAGCCCUUGACCUGUAACAGGAAGGCUUGUGAUCCUUGGCUGCUAAAGGCCAAGGCCGUGAGACAGACGAUGACUCUCUGUUUCUUGAUUUCCCUUCCUGCGGAGAAGGCCUCUGCGCACAUGGCUUCCUGGAACUGGAGGAGAGUAGCCGAGAAUAAGAAGCGGAAAGGAGCCCGAAUAGUUCAUCCAUCAGUUUCCAAAAAGGAAGAUGGUGUUUACUACUGAAGUUUGGCUUUCCUGGCGCCAAAAGCCCAACAAAGCAAUUGUCGGGAAUUAGGAAGGCACUCCAUUCCACUCUGCAAACGGCGUGACCACGACCCCGCGUGACGGCGCUGCACCCAAAACCCCAGGUCAUGGACAGUGGCCCCAUGCCAUUUGCCCCUUACUCAUCUCUAGCAGUUUCAUUUAAGAAGCUUUCCUUCAGCUCAUUCUGAAGAUUCUUCCACGGAGUGAGGUGAGUUAUCUUCUUUGCUGUGUCUCCCUCUCCA